rnacentral:rRNA from 1 species
AACGAACGCUGGCGGCAUGCCUAACACAUGCAAGUCGAACGAGACCUUCGGGUCUAGUGGCGCACGGGUGCGUAACGCGUGGGAACCUGCCCUUAGGUUCGGAAUAACUCCCCGAAAGGGGUGCUAAUACCGGAUAAUGUCUUCGGACCAAAGAUUUAUCGCCUUUGGAUGGGCCCGCGUUGGAUUAGCUAGUUGGUAGGGUAAAAGCCUACCAAGGCGACGAUCCAUAGCUGGUCUGAGAGGAUGAUCAGCCACACUGGGACUGAGACACGGCCCAGACUCCUACGGGAGGCAGCAGUGGGGAAUAUUGGACAAUGGGCGAAAGCCUGAUCCAGCAAUGCCGCGUGAGUGAUGAAGGCCUUAGGGUUGUAAAGCUCUUUUACCCGAGAUGAUAAUGACAGUACCGAGAGAAUAAGCUCCGGCUAACUCCGUG